UGGGGAAUAUUGCACAAUGGGGGAAACCCUGAUGCAGCGACGCCGCGUGAGCGAAGAAGGUUUUCGAAUCGUAAAGCUCUGUCCUAUGAGAAGAUAAUGACGGUAUCAUAGGAGGAAGCCCCGGCUAAAUACGUGCCAGCAGCCGCGGUAAUACGUAUGGGGCGAGCGUUGUCCGGAAUUAUUGGGCGUAAAGAGCUUGUAGGCGGUUCGUCGCGUCUGGUGUGAAAGCCCAUCGCUUAACGGUGGGUUUGCGCCGGGUACGGGCGGGCUAGAGUGCAGUAGGGGAGACUGGAAUUCCCGGUGUAACGGUGGAAUGUGUAGAUAUCGGGAAGAACACCAAUGGCGAAGGCAGGUCUCUGGGCUGUUUCUGACGCUGAGAAGCGAAAGCGUGGGGAGCGAACAGG
rnacentral:rRNA from 1 species